rnacentral:tRNA from 1 species
GGGGUUGUGGCUCAAUGGUAGAGCACUCACCUAGCAUGUGUUAGGCCCUGGGUUCAAUCCUCAGCACCA